rnacentral:rRNA from 1 species
GAGUUUGAUCCUGGUUCAGAACGAACGCUGGCGGCAGGCUUAACACAUGCAAGUCGAGCGCCCCGCAAGGGGAGCGGCAGACGGGUGAGUAACGCGUGGGAAUCUACCCAUCUCUACGGAACAACUCCGGGAAACUGGAGCUAAUACCGUAUACGUCCUUAUGGAGAAAGAUUUAUCGGAGAUGGAUGAGCCCGCGUUGGAUUAGCUAGUUGGUGGGGUAAUGGCCUACCAAGGCGACGAUCCAUAGCUGGUCUGAGAGGAUGAUCAGCCACACUGGGACUGAGACACGGCCCAGACUCCUACGGGAGGCAGCAGUGGGGAAUAUUGGACAAUGGGCGCAAGCCUGAUCCAGCCAUGCCGCGUGAGUGAUGAAGGCCCUAGGGUUGUAAAGCUCUUUCAACGGUGAAGAUAAUGACGGUAACCGUAGAAGAAGCCCCGGCUAACUUCGUGCCAGCAGCCGCGGUAAUACGAAGGGGGCUAGCGUUGUUCGGAAUUACUGGGCGUAAAGCGCACGUAGGCGGAUACUUAAGUCAGGGGUGAAAUCCCGGGGCUCAACCCCGGAACUGCCUUUGAUACUGGGUAUCUGGAGUCCGGAAGAGGUGAGUGGAAUUCCGAGUGUAGAGGUGAAAUUCGUAGAUAUUCGGAGGAACACCAGUGGCGAAGGCGG